GUCAAGCCGCAUUUCUGUGCUUUAGCCUUAUCCCAUAUUUUCCUAAGCUCAAACGAACCGACCUGACCGGUAUUUAUGGAUGACUACUCGAUCAUUCAUCCGAUUUAUACCAUUCAGACUCCUUCUUUAUCCCACAAAACCCCAAGUUUCAUCAGCCAUCGAUCGUGCCAAUGUUUCCGUUUGAUCUAACAACCGCCAGCAGCCACCACUCGCCACCUCACCGCAACCACCGAUUUGACCACCGCCUGCCGCCGCUACUCGAACCAUUGGAAUCGCGAACCAGCCAUCACACUCCGCUAACCACUGUAGCACCUUUGUUAGCCGGAGCUUUCUACGACGCACCGCCCAUCAUAUCCCGUCGUAACCAACUUUGUUCGUCGGAACUUUCCAUUUACCAACGGGGUUCCGUCACUUUAGUUCUCCGAUCAGAUCAGGCUGCCAUCAUUGCUGCUUCUCGACUUGUUUCUGUUCGAAACUUUAGUCUUUGGUGUUGGUUAGCUUUGUUUUGCAAUUAAGGUUUGCGUACUAUUUGAGGACGACUUAAUUUAUUUUUGCUUCGCUUGCUAACAAGGUAAUUUGGGAAACGUGGGGAAUAAGUGAAGAGUGUCAUGAAGAUAAAGAUUUAUUUUUAUUUCGGUAAUGUAAUGAAAAUGUAAUUAGGAUCUUUUGUUUUCAACAUUGGAUUGGUUUUAGUUUUGAUAUCUGUAUGAGUGACACGUCAGCCUGUUCAGGUUGGGGUGUUACAAGAUAAGUGCUAUUAUAUAUUCAUCAUGGCUUUAUAAAAUUGAA